CUUACAUGAUAGAAUUAAUGUACUUACACAGUUACUGUCCGUUUGCUACUACAAAAUUACGUAAACUAUUGUAACUUUACUUUUAAUUCUGACCGCAACCUCCAAUACGUUCAAAACGGUUGACCAAUUUAGUAGUUGUGAUAUUGACCGCUGAUGUCUCAGUAGGCGCCUAAUUUCCCUCCUUGCAUAAAAAAUGUCCAAUAUAUAUAUAUCCAACUUUUCAAAAUCAAUUCUUAUUCCAAACAAGCCAGAUGGCCUAAUCUCUGAAAUAUUAACAAGAAAAGACAAAUUAAUUAAUUUGAUCAACUUUUACGUGAAAAUGGGAAUACAAAGACAGUGAUGCCAACUGUGUUAAUAUAUGGAAAGGUUGUGACUCGUUAAUAAGGAUUCGAAGGGAAUGUCCCCGUGUUAGAUUGAAUUGAGCUAUGUAUAUAGCAAGAAUUAGUGCACACGAGGAUGUGACGUUUCAUAUUGCAAGAUCCUCAAUAAUAAAAAGGGACAAGACAGAGUUACUGUAGAGAUACAGACAAUAAAAUAAAAAGCGUGAGAGGAGACUGUAACUUUAAAUUCAUCUGUAGUUGGUUACAAGACCUAGGAACACUUGUCAGCAUGGUAUCUCAAACAGUCGUAAAUAUGGCUCCUCACAAUAAUAAUAUAUGAGUUUUGAUGUACAGCUGUAGUAACAAAAGAGUUUUGACUGAAGCCAAAGCGUUACUAUGGAAAUGACUGCGCUGAAGAA